rnacentral:misc_RNA from 1 species
GAUGAAGAACGCAGCGAAAUGCGAUAAGUAAUGUGAAUUGCAGAAUUCAGUGAAUCAUCGAGUCUUUGAACGCACAUUGCGCCCCCUGGUAUUCCGGGGGGCAUGCCUGUCCGAGCGUCAUUGCUGCCCUCAAGCACGGCUUGUGUGUUGGGCCCCCGCCCCCCGGCUUCGGGGGACGGGCCCGAAAGGCAGCGGCGGCACCGCGUCCGGUCCUCGAGCGUAUGGGGCUUCGUCACCCGCUCUGUAGGCCCGGCCGGCGCCCGCCGGCGACCCCAAUCAAUCUUUCCAGGUUGACCUCGGAUCAGGUAGGGAUACCCGCUGAACUUAAGCAUAUCAUAAGCGGAGGA